CGCUCAUGAAAGGCCGCACUGCCGAUGAAGACCGCGGUGAUGUUAACGAUGAAGAUUGGGAUUGGAAUCAGUGGCGUCAGCAUUUCGAUGAGGUUGAUGACCAGGAACGUAUUGUCAUCAUCCUCAAGUCUCAGUUACGGCAUGCUGUAUACGUGGAGGAUUAUGAAGAAGCUUCUAGGCUUCAGGUGGCGAUUGCAGCUGCAUCUAACAAUGACAGUGUUGGAAAAGUGAUAUCUCUUCUCAAAAGAGCCAUAAAAGAAGAGCGUUACCAUGAUGCAGCUUUUUUAAGAGAUAAAGCUGGUGCUGGACUUGAGCUACACCAAAAUCAGUUCUUGAGCUUAUGGAUGUAAAGGAUCUAACUCUAUCACAUGUUAAAUCUCAUUUGCAGCUACUAGCUAGUGGAAGAAAAGCUAGUAAAAAACAGGAUUAUGAUAUUAACAGGGAAGCUUGGUUGCAUGGUAAGCCAGUAGACUCAGUUGGAAACUUGCCUUGUAUUGAGGUUUGUGAAUAUUACUCAAUGCCUCCUUUAUUUUUCAAGUAUUAUCUUUAGACAAUGAUGUUUUUAAUAUGGAUGUCAAAAAAAUGAUAAGAAUUCACCAUUGAGUUUUUUA